GGCCUCUGUCUCCUGGGACUGCUAAGGAUUCCUUUUCUUCUCAGCCAGGGAUGGAGGCCACAAUCAGCUUUAAGGAUUAUUAUUGGGGCUGCCUUGAACUGGGCAGCCUCAGACAUUU